AUAGGAUGGACAUGCGUCGCAUUAGGUAGACGGCGGGGUAACGGCCCACCGUGCCGACGAUGCGUAGGGGUUCUGAGAGGAAGGCCCCCCACACUGGUACUGAGACACGGACCAGACUCCUACGGGAGGCAGCAGUGAGGAAUAUUGGUCAAUGGCCGAGAGGCUGAACCAGCCAAGUCGCGUGAGGGAAGAAUGUCCUAAGGAUUGUAAACCUCUUUUGUCGGGGAGCAAAAAGGCUCUGCGGAGUCGUAUUGAGAGUACCCGAAGAAAAAGCAUCGGCUAACUCCGUGCCAGCAGCCGCGGUAAUACGGAGGAUGCGAGCGUUAUCCGGAUUUAUUGGGUUUAAAGGGUGCGCAGGCGGCGUGUCAAGCAAGCGGUAAAAUAGCGGGGCUCAACCCCGUCGAGCCGUUUGAACUGGCGCGCUUGAGUUCAGGCGAGGUAGGCGGAAUUCGUGGUGUAGCGGUGAAAUGCAUAGAUAUCACGAAGAACUCCGAUUGCGAAGGCAGCUUACCAGUCUGCGACUGACGCUCAGGCACGAAAGUGUGGGUAUCGAACAGGAUUAGAUACCCUGGUAGUCCACACAGUAAACGAUGA
rnacentral:rRNA from 1 species